GAUGAACGCUGGCGGCGUGCCUAAUACAUGCAAGUCGAGCGAACGGACGAGAAGCUUGCUUCUCUGAUGUUAGCGGCGGACGGGUGAGUAACACGUGGAUAACCUACCUAUAAGACUGGGAUAACUUCGGGAAACCGGAGCUAAUACCGGAUAAUAUUUUGAACCGCAUGGUUCAAAAGUGAAAGACGGUCUUGCUGUCACUUAUAGAUGGAUCCGCGCUGCAUUAGCUAGUUGGUAAGGUAACGGCUUACCAAGGCAACGAUGCAUAGCCGACCUGAGAGGGUGAUCGGCCACACUGGAACUGAGACACGGUCCAGACUCCUACGGGGGGCAGCAGUAGGGAAUCUUCCGCAAUGGGCGAAAGCCUGACGGAGCAACGCCGCGUGAGUGAUGAAGGUCUUCGGAUCGUAAAACUUUGUUAUUAGGGAAGAACAUAUGUGUAAGUAACUGUGCACAUCUUGACGGUACCUAAUCAGAAAGCCACGGCUAACUACGUG
rnacentral:rRNA from 1 species